rnacentral:rRNA from 1 species
AGAGUUUGAUCCUGGCUCAGAUUGAACGCUGGCGGCACGCCUAACACAUGCAAGUCGAGCGGUAACAUGGUGAGUAGCAAUACUCACUGAUGACGAGCGGCGGACGGGUGAGGAACACGUAGGAACUUGCCCUUCAGAGGGGGACAACCAAGGGAAACUUUGGCUAAUACCGCAUAAACUCGAAAGAGAAAAGUUGCCCU